rnacentral:rRNA from 1 species
AGCUUUUGGGUUGUAAACCUCUUUUAUUAGGGAAGAAUUGAUGACGGUACCUAAUGAAUCAGCAUCGGCUAACUCCGUGCCAGCAGCCGCGGUAAUACGGAGGAUGCAAGCGUUAUCCGGAAUUAUUGGGCGUAAAGCGUCCGUAGGUGGCACUUCAAGUCUGUUGUCAAAGCGUGCAGCUUAACUGCAUACGGGCAAUGGAAACUGGAGCGCUAGAGUGCGAUAGGGGUGACAGGAAUUCCCAGUGUAGCGGUGAAAUGCGUAGAUAUUGGGAAGAACACCAGCGGCGAAAGCGUGUCACUGGGUCUGCACUGACACUGAGGGACGAAAGCUAGGGGAGCGAAAGGGAUUAGAUACCCCUGUAGUCCUAGCCGUAAACGAUGACAACUAGGUGUGGUUCGUAUCGACCCGAGCCGUGCCGUAGCCAACGCGUUAAGUUGUCCGCCUGGGGAGUACGCACGCAAGUGUGAAACUCAAAGGAAUUGACGGGGGCCCGCACAAGCGGUGGAGUAUGUGGUUUAAUUCGAUGCAACGCGAAGAACCUUACCAAGGCUUGACAUCCUCGGAAUCCUUGUGAAAGCAGGGAGUGCCUUCGGGAACCGAGAGACAGGUGGUGCAUGGCUGUCGUCAGCUCGUGUCGUGAGAUGUUGGGUUUAAGUCCCGCAACGAGCGCAACCCACGUUUUUAGUUGCCAUCAGGUAAUGCUGGGCACUCUAGAGAGACUGCCGGUGACAAACCGGAGGAAGG